rnacentral:misc_RNA from 1 species
GAUGAAGAACGCAGCGAAAUGCGAAAAGUAAUGUGAAUUGCAGAUUUCAGUGAACCAUCGAAUCUUUGAACGCACAUUGCGCCCGCUGGAACUCCGGCGGGCACGCCUGUCCGAGCGUCAUUUCAACCCUCAGGCCCCCCUUCGCGGGCGGGCCUGGUGUUGGGGCCCGGCCGCUACCCUGCGGCCGUCCCCUAAAUCCAGUGGCGGCCUCGCCGUGAUCCCUUGCGUAGUAAUGCACCUCGCACCGGAGAGCGCCGUGGCCACGCCGUAAAACCCCCAAUUUUCAAUGGUUGACCUCGGAUCAGGUGGGAAUACCCGCUGAACUUAAGCAUAUCAAUAAGCGGAGGA